GCUGCAGCUAACGCAUUAAGCACUCCGCCUGGGGAGUACGACCGCAAGGUUGAAACUCAAAGGAAUUGACGGGGGCCCGCACAAGCGGUGGAGCAUGUGGUUUAAUUCGAAGCAACGCGAAGAACCUUACCAGGUCUUGACAUCCUUUGACCACUCUAGAGAUAGAGCUUCCCCUUCGGGGGCAAAGUGACAGGUGGUGCAUGGUUGUCGUCAGCUCGUGUCGUGAGAUGUUGGGUUAAGUCCCGCAACGAGCGCAACCCUUAUUGUUAGUUGCCAUCAUUCAGUUGGGCACUCUAGCAAGACUGCCGGUGACAAACCGGAGGAAGGUGGGGAUGACGUCAAAUCAUCAUGCCCCUUAUGACCUGGGCUACACACGUGCUACAAUGGGAAGUACAACGAGUCGCGAAGUCGCGAGGCUAAGCUAAUCUCUUAAAGCUUCUCUCAGUUCGGAUUGUAGGCUGCAACUCGCCUACAUGAAGCCGGAAUCGCUAGUAAUCGCGGAUCAGCACGCCGCGGUGAAUACGUUCCCGGGCCUUGUACACACCGCCCGUCACACCACGAGAGUUUG
rnacentral:rRNA from 1 species